rnacentral:rRNA from 1 species
UAAUACGAAGGGUGCGAGCGUUGUUCGGAUUUAUUGGGCGUAAAGCGGGUGCAGGCGGAUACACAAGUCAGAUGUGAAAUCUCGAGGCUCAACCUCGAAACUGCGUCUGAAACUGUAUAUCUAGAAUCUCGUAGAGGGAGGCAGAAUUUCGCAUGUAGGAGUAAAAUCCGUAGAUAUGCGAAGGAACACCAGAGGCGAAGGCGGCCUCCUGGGCGAGUAUUGACGCUGUAGCCGAAAGCGUGGGGAGCAAACAGGAUUAGAUACCCUGGUAGUCCACGCCGUAAACGAUGUGCACUAGAUUUGGGGGGAAUUGACCCCUUCUGGAUCGUAGCUAACGCAUUAAGUGCACCGCCUGGGGAGUACGGUCGCAAGACUA